rnacentral:rRNA from 1 species
CGGGUGCACUGAUCCGGCCGGGCCUUUCCCUCUGCGGAACCCCAUGGCCUUCACUGGCUGUGCGGGGGAAGCAGGACUUUUACUGUGAAAAAAUUAGAGUGCUCCAGGCAGGCCUAUGCUCGAAUACAUUAGCAUGGAAUAAUAGAAUAGGGCGCGUGGUUCUAUUUUGUUGGUUUCUAGGACCGCCGUAAUGAUUAAUAGGGACAGUCGGGGGCAUCAGUAUUCAAUUGUCAGAGGUGAAAUUCUUGGAUCUAUUGAAGACUAACUACUGCGAAAGCAUUUGCCAAGGAUGUUUUCAUUGAUAAGGAACGAAAGUUAGGGGAUCGAAGACGAUCAGAUACCGUCGUAGUCUUAACUAUAAACUAUGCCGACUAGGGAUCGGACGAUGUUAUUCUUUGACGCGUUCGGCACCUUUCGAGAAAUCAAAGUGCUUGGGCUCCAGGGGGAGUAUGGUCGCAAGGCUGAAACUUAAAGAAAUUGACGGAAGGGCACCACCAGGGGUGGAACCUGCGGCUUAAUUUGACUCAACACGGGGAAACUCACCAGGUCCAGACACAGUGAGGAUUGACAGAUUGAGAGCUCUUUCUUGAUUCUGUGGGUGGUGGUGCAUGGCCGUUCUUAGUUGGUGGAGUGAUUUGUCUGCUUAAUUGCGAUAACGAACGAGACCUUAACCUGCUAAAUAGCCCGUACUGCUCUGGCAGUUCGCCGGCUUCUUAGAGGGACUAUCGG